CAGUGAAGACUCGAUCUGACACUCUUCUUCUGGAGACUGGACUUUAGAGAAAUGAUGCUGAUCUUUGAACUGAUGCUGCUGCUGCAAACUACUGCAUGUCUGGAUCGGUUCUGCUGGUUUGAUCAGUCUGAUCCCUGUUACGCAGCUCUGGGACACAAACUCAAUCUGCUGACAGUGCUGGACGCUAGAGAAUAUGAGCUGAAGAUAAUAAAGAGAAUAAACUACACACAAGAUGAUCGAGAUUGUAGAGUAAAAUAUGGCAGGAUGAGGGAAUGUGAUCUUUACAAUAACAGACCUGAAGUGACCGUCAUUAAUGGGACUGUGAUAAUAAACCGUUUGAUUGAUUGAUUGAUUGAUGUGUUUGUGUUGUUCAGUGUCUGUGGUGUUUGUGCUGGCCUGGGGUUUCCAGCUGAUGGUUCUGUUGGGUCUGUUAGGAGGUUUUCACAUCUACAUGAGACACACGUCAGGAAAGAAAGAGGAAGAUCAGAAAGUGAGAAUGAGCAGAUUUAGAGAGCAACAUGAACACACAGCUGAAGAUUCAUGAGAGCAGCAGCAGAUCUUCUGUAUUUUAUGUUUUUUAACGUUUUGCUACACUUUUGUAUUUUUUU